rnacentral:rRNA from 1 species
CUUUACUGUAGCCUGGUAUUGGGUUCGGGCUUUGACUGCGCAGGAUAGGUGGGAGACUGAGAAGUGUGCCUUGUGGGGCACAUGGAGUCAACGGUGAGAUACCACUCUGUCAGAGCUAGAAUUCUAACCUUCACCCGUAAUCCGGGGAAGGAACCGUAUCAGGUGGGCAGUUUGACUGGGGCGGUCGCCUCCUAAAAGGUAACGGAGGCGCGCAAAGGUGUUCUCAGGCUGGUUGGAAAUCAGCCGUAGAGUGUAAAGGCAGAAGAACGCUUGACUGUGAGAGUGAAAACGCAAGCAGGGUGGAAACACGGCCUUAGUGAUCCGAAGGUAUGCGCGUGGAAGUGCCGUCGCUCAACGGAUAAAAGUUA